AACUUUUAGCAACGGAUCACUUGGAUCUGGCAUCGAUGAAGAACGCAGCGAAAUGCGAUAAGUAAUGUGAAUUGCAGAAUUCAGUGAAUCAUCGAAUCUUUGAACGCACAUUGCGCCCGCCAGUAUUCUGGCGGGCAUGCCUGUCCGAGCGUCAUUUCAACCCUCGAACCCCUCCGGGGGGUCGGCGUUGGGGAUCGGCCCCUCACCGGGCCGCCCCCGAAAUACAGUGGCGGUAUCGCCGCAGCCUCUCAUGCGCAGUAGUUUGCACACUCGCACCGGGAGCGCGGCGCGGCCACAGCCGUAAAACACCCCAAAUUUUCUGAAAUGUUGACCUCGGAUCAGGUAGGAAUACCCGCUGAACUUAAGCAUAUCAAUAAGCGGAGGCU
rnacentral:misc_RNA from 1 species